UCACUGGACAGCUACUGACGCUGAAGUGCGAAAGCUAGGGGAGCAAACAGGAUUAGAUACCCUGGUAGUCCUAGCUGUAAACGAUGAUUACUGGGUGUGGGGAUGAGAAGUCUCUGUGCCGAAGCAAAAGCGAUAAGUAAUCCGCCUGGGGAGUACGUUCGCAAGAAUGAAACUCAAAGGAAUUGACGGGGGCCCGCACAAGUGGUGGAGCAUGUGGUUUAAUUCGACGCAACGCGAGGAACCUUACCAGAUCUUGACAUCCUCGGAAAGUUAUAGAGAUAUGACAGUGCCUUAGGGAACCGAGAGACAGGUGGUGCAUGGCUGUCGACAGCUCGUGUUGUGAGAUGUUGGGUUAAGUCCCGCAACGAGCGAAACCCCUAUCAUUAGUUACCAUCAUUAAGUUGGGGACUCUAAUGAAACUGCCUGCGAAGAGCAGGAGGAAGGUGGGGAUGACGUCAAGUCAUCAUGCCCCUUAUGAUCUGGGCUACACACGUGCUACAAUGGGUAGUACAAAGAGAGGCGAAAUGGCGACAUGGAGCAAAACUAGAAAGCUACUCUAAGUUCGGAUUGAAGUCUGCAACUCGACUUCAUGAAGUUGGAAUCACUAGUAAUCGCAAAUCAGCAAUGUUGCGGUGAAUACGUUCUCGGGCCUUGUACACACCGCCCGUCACACCACGAGAGUUGUUUGCACCUGAAAUUAUUGGUCUAACCGUAAGGGGGAAGAUAAUGAAGGUGUGAAUAGUGAUUGGGGUGAAGUCGUAACAAGGUAUCCGUA
rnacentral:rRNA from 1 species